UGAUCUGGGUAGCGUUGGAACGACGUCUAAUACUGGAUAUGACUACUGGUCGCAUGGCCUGGUGGUGGAAAGAUUUUUUGGUUGGGGAUGGACUCGCGGCCUAUCAGCUUGUUGGUGAGGUAAUGGCUCACCAAGGCGACGACGGGUAGCCGGCCUGAGAGGGUGACCGGCCACACUGGGACUGAGACACGGCCCAGACUCCUACGGGAGGCAGCAGUGGGGAAUAUUGCACAAUGGGCGAAAGCCUGAUGCAGCAACGCCGCGUGAGGGAUGACGGCCUUCGGGUUGUAAACCUCUUUUAGUAGGGAAGAAGCGAGAGUGACGGUACCUGCAGAAAAAGCACCGGCUAACUACGUGCCAGCAGCCGCGGUAAUACGA
rnacentral:rRNA from 1 species